GACGAACGCUGGCGGCGUGCUUAACACAUGCAAGUCGAACGGAAAGGCCUGUCCUUCCUUGUGUUGGACGGGUACUCGAGUGGCGAACGGGUGAGUAACACGUGAGUGAUCUGCCCCCAACUUGGGUAUAAGCCUGGGAAACUGGGUCUAAUUCCCGAUAGGACUGCAGGGUGGUGCCUGUGGUGGAAAACGAUUUUCUAGUGGUUGGGGAUGAGCUCGCGGCCUAUCAGCUUGUUGGUGGGGGAAUGGCCUACCAAGGCGGCGACGGGUAGCCGGCCUGGGAGGGUGGACGGCCACAUUGGGACUGAGAUACGGCCCAGACGCCUACGGGAGGCAGCAGUGGGGAAGAUUGCACAAUGGGCGGAAGCCUGAUGCAGCGACGCCGCGUGGGGGAUGACGGCCUUCGGGUUGUAAACUCCUUUCGACCGCGAGGAAGCCGCCUGGUUGGAAGGGUGGUGACGGUAGUGGUAGAAGAAGCACCGGCUAACUACGUG
rnacentral:rRNA from 1 species